GUUUUUGUAGCUGUACUGUGUAGCCACGGUACUCAACUAGAUGAUUUUAUGAUACAUUUUUGUUAAUGUACUAAUGUCUUAUUCCAUUCCAGAAUGUUCGUAUGUAGACUGCCCCAUGAAACAGAAGUAUUCAGAAAGAAAAUUGUGGAAUCAUGAUGGACCAUAUCUGAAUACUGGGGAUAUGAAUGCUCAGGAAGGAGAAACCAGCAUAGUUACAUGUACCUACUUCCUGCUACCUAUGUGAAGCCAGGAGACGGAGCAGAUAUUAGAAGAUACUCACAUUCAAAAGUGCUCAGUGGGCUUGGAGACAGCACAGUGGUAAGUGUACAGGAUGACAGUGUAGAGGAGUAAAAAUGGAUCUGUUUAAGAGGUUUGCCUGAAGUGAGGAGAAAAUAACUUUGUCUCACAAGGACAGUUUGAUGUUAAGGCAUGUGCCAGCUUAGGCUUCUGGCAAGGAUGACAGAUUGCUGCCUCAGUUGCUAGCAAUAAUUAAACAAUGUACAGUUAAAGCCAACCUUGCCACUACAACCUCAUGACUGCAAAUCAGUUCCUCAGCAAAUACUGCUGUAUGGUUACCCUAACCUUCUCCUGUAAGUAACAGACAAGGUUAAGAUACUUUUUGAAGUCUGUAUGUGUUAAUUAUUGUUAGUUAUUAAGAUUUUGUUGUUUAAUAUGACUAAAUAACUGCCAACUGAUAGCAAGCUUUGAUUUUUUUAUUCUAAUGCAAAUUCUUUUCAGAGAAUAAUAACCAUGUCAAUUUAGAGAUUCCUUUUCUUGGAAACCUCUUGCUGUUAUAUCAUGAAAUGUAACACAAUUCUUUGUUCUGAAAUAUUCAUUUUUAUCCUAGAUACAAGGCUUUGGAUUUUAUACUUGCAGAUGCUGAACAUUACAAAAAAACUUGGGGCUACUCAUGUAGUUUUAUAUCUUAAAGUGAAGAGCUAAAGAGAUGGAGGACUGGAGAUGGAGUGUGCCUCUAAGAUUUUUCCAGUGACAUUUUGCCAAAUUUAAUACAACAGUUGAAUUUGACUGAAAGUAAGUCUUGAAAAUUCAUGACUUUUUGCACAUAGCUAUGUUCAGCUAGUAUUUAGAUAGAGCAUUGUUUUAGGAUUGUUUUUAAUUUAAAUAGUUCACCCUAAAUAAGUGAACUUAGAGAGAAUUCACCCUUAGAGGUCUGAGGCUUGUUGAAAAAUCUGUAUGAAUGAUCCAGAAAGCUCCUUGAGAAUCUCUCUUAAAAUUCUUAGGUG
rnacentral:lncRNA from 1 species